rnacentral:rRNA from 1 species
CGCGAAGAACCUUACCAAGUCUUGACAUCGGCCUGACCGCCUCGUAAUGGAGGCUUUCCUACGGGACAGGCAAGACAGGUGGUGCAUGGUGGUCGUCAGCUCGUGUCGUGAGAUGUUGGGUUAAGUCCCGCAACGAGCGCAACCCUUAUCUUUAGUAGCCAGCAGUUCGGCUGGGCACUCUAGAGAGACUGCCAGGGAUAACCUGGAGGAAGGUGGGGAUGACGUCAAAUCAUCAUGCCCCUUAUGACUUGGGCUACACACGUGCUACAAUGGCGUAAACAAAGGGAAGCGACCCCGUGAGGGUGAGCGAAUCUCAAAAAUAACGUCUCAGUUCGGAUUGUAGUCUGCAACUCGACUACAUGAAGCUGGAAUCGCUAGUAAUCGCGAAUCAGCAUGUCGCGGUGAAUACGUUCCCGGGUCUUGUACACACCGCCCGUCACACCAUGGGAGUCAGUAACGCCCGAAGCCGGUGACCUAACCGAAAGGAAGGAGCCGUCGAAGGCGGGACGGAUAACUGGGGUG